GCCGGAAGAACCCGACUAAAACAAAGACAUUAGAAUCAGAAGCGGGAAUUCACGGAACGGAUCCCGGGUGUCAUCAGAAAUGGAGUCGUGAUUUAUACACAGAGAAGCGCACCCAUGGCUUUUUAAAAAAAGUUGAGUUCCACUUACUUCAAAUACGAGUAGAUCCUGUGUGUUCACGGAAGAGGAUCCCCAGUGGAAUCCUCGGCAGGAUCUGCGUGGCAGCAGUCAUGCUCCAAACGGCCCUCUCCCUCUGGAGCCAAGCCCACGACGUUCUAGAAGGUUUCCUGGA